UACGAAGGGUGCAAACGUUGCUCGGAAUUAUUGGGCGUAAAGCGCACGUAGGCGGCUUUGCAAGUCCCAUGUGAAAUCCCACGGCUCAACCGUGGAAGUGCAUGGGAAACUGCAGAGCUUGAGUACUUAAGAGGAUCGCGGAAUUCCCGGUGUAGAGGUGAAAUUCGUAGAUAUCGGGAGGAACACCAGUGGCGAAGGCGGCGAUCUGGGAAGAUACUGACGCUGAGGUGCGGAAAGCGUGGGGAGCAA
rnacentral:rRNA from 1 species